CUAAAUUUGACCUCAAAUCAGGUAGGAAUACCCGCUGAACUUAAGCAUAUCAAUAAGCGGAGGAAAAGAAACCAACAGGGAUUGCCUCAGUAGCGGCGAGUGAAGCGGCAAAAGCUCCACUUUGAAAGCGUUUCGGCGCGUUGUAGUGUGGUUCAGUCUUUGAAUAUUGGGGAAACUAAGUCCUUUGGAACAAGGCGCCAUAGAGGGUGAGAGCCCCGUGAGUUUCUCUUUACUGUUCUUCAAGUCUGUACCGAAGAGUCGAGUUGUUUGGGAAUGCAGCUCUAAGUGGGUGGUAAAUUCCAUCUAAGGCUAAAUAUUGGCGAGAGACCGAUAGCGAACAAGUACAGUGAUGGAAAGAUGAAAAGCACUUUGAAAAGAGAGUGAAACAGUACGUGAAAUUGUUGAAAGGGAAGGGUAUUUGGCUCGACAUGGGUCCUGUGCACCGUUGCCUCUUGUAGGCGGCGCUCUGCUGGGGCCUGGGCCAGCAUCAGUUUUCUGGCGGGGAUAAGGCCUUGUGAACUACAUUGUAGGGAUCGGGGCGAUGCCCGCACGGGGGACUGAGGACUGCCGUUAUUGUAGGAUGCUGGCAUAACGGCCAAAUACCGC
rnacentral:rRNA from 1 species